AAAGUGUUAAUGAGAACUUCAUUUUUAAUUUGAUUGAAUUAAAAUUUUUGGAACAUUAAAUAGUAAGAAAUGUAUAUGUUACGGCCAAAGCCCGGAUUCGGCCAGUUCUCGAAUUGGCCGGCCAAAUCGGGAAACAGCCAAUAUCGCCUCACAAUGACCGGCCAAUGUCCGAUCUUUCCUUGAUUUCAGUGUUUGGCCAGCCAGUUCGUGAAAUGGCAUGGGGCGAUCGGCCAAAGUCGGAAGAAAAAGGUCAUGAACAGAUUUUGGAUUUGUAUACCGUAAUGGUAAUUACAUUAUAGCCACUACAGAGGAUCACAGGCUCCACACUUAAGUGUAUGCUCAGGUGCGGUAGUGGGGUAUCGUUAGGCAGACUUAGAUAUGAACUGAGCGUUGAGGGUGUAGAUAGAUUAGCUGCAUCCAAAAGAUCAAGGGCGAUUGGCAAAUUCCCUUUUCUGAGGAUAUGGAUAUCGGUGCUUAUGGAAAGCAAACCAUCUGUAAGGAAGAACACAUGGGUGACGACGGGAAAGCGAUGGCUCA
rnacentral:lncRNA from 1 species